rnacentral:rRNA from 1 species
GACGAACGCUGGCGGCGUGCCUAAUACAUGCAAGUAGAACGCUGAAGAGAGGAGCUUGCUCUUCUUGGAUGAGUUGCGAACGGGUGAGUAACGCGUAGGUAACCUGCCUUGUAGCGGGGGAUAACUAUUGGAAACGAUAGCUAAUACCGCAUAACAAUAGGUGACACAUGUCAUUUAUUUGAAAGGGGCAAUUGCUCCACUACAAGAUGGACCUGCGUUGUAUUAGCUAGUAGGUGAGGUAACGGCUCACCUAGGCGACGAUACAUAGCCGACCUGAGAGGGUGAUCGGCCACACUGGGACUGAGACACGGCCCAGACUCCUACGGGAGGCAGCAGUAGGGAAUCUUCGGCAAUGGGGGCAACCCUGACCGAGCAACGCCGCGUGAGUGAAGAAGGUUUUCGGAUCGUAAAGCUCUGUUGUAAGUCGAGAACGAGUGUGAGAGUGGAAAGUUCACACUGUGACGGUAGCUUACCAGAAAGGGACGGCUAACUACGUG